GGGCACACGCACCCACACACCCCGUGGGGACACGGGCACACGCGGGGGGGACACAGGGCAGCCCACGCUCCGCCUGAGCAGCGAGAGGUACCUGCGGGCCCACCCGGGGGUCCGGCUGCUGCUGCGGGGGUUCCUCAGGGAGCUGCUGCUCCAUCAACCGACCAACAUCCCGGAGUUCGCUGCAGGUGAGGGGGGGCUGGGGGGUCCCCAUGGCUGGGGGGUGUGGGGGGGGGGGUCCCAGCCGCCCACUCACCCCCCGCCCCCCCCCCCCCCCCCCAGGGUACUUCUCGCAGCCGGAGCUGCCGCGGCGGAUCCAGGAGGAGCUGGGGGGGUCGGCACCCUGAGGGGGGGGGGGGGUCUCACCCCAAUCCCAGGCGGUGACACCCCACACUGGGUGCUGCUGUGGCGUCACCCAGAGCUCGGGGG